GAGGGUAGAGCUCAGUGGUAGAGAAUGUGCUUAGCAGGCACGAGAUCCUGGGUUCAGUCCCCAGUACCUCCA
rnacentral:tRNA from 1 species